rnacentral:rRNA from 1 species
ACGAACGCUGGCGGCGUGCUUAACACAUGCCAGUCGAACGCUGAAGACCUGGCUUUUGUUGGGUUGGAUGAGUGGCGAACGGGUGAGUAACACGUGAGUAACCUGCCCUCUUCUUUGGGAUAACGCCCGGAAACGGGUGCUAAUACUGGAUAUUCACUGGCCUUCGCAUGGGGGUUGGUGGAAAGGCUUGUUCUGGUGGGGGAUGGGCUCGCGGCCUAUCAGCUUGUUGGUGGGGUGAUGGCCUACCAAGGCUUUGACGGGUAGCCGGCCUGAGAGGGUGACCGGUCACAUUGGGACUGAGAUACGGCCCAGACUCCUACGGGAGGCAGCAGUGGGGAAUAUUGCACAAUGGGCGAAGGCCUGAUGCAGCGACGCCGCGUGAGGGAUGGAGGCCUUCGGGUUGUAAACCUCUUUCGCUCAUGGUGAGGCCGCAACUGUGGGUUGUGGUGAGGGUAGUGGGUAAAGAAGCGCCGGCUAACUACGUG